rnacentral:piRNA from 1 species
UGAACGGAGAUGUGUUCCCAUAGUAA